GAAAGUUAUUUAGUUGCUUUCAACCUUUAUCAAAAUGUUACUACGUGUCCUUUUGGUUUGCUUGGCUUUAUUUGCCCUGGCAUAUUCCCAACCUGUUUCUAAGGAUAAGGAUAUAUUUGACAUUAUUGAUGGUGCUCGAUCUGGCUUAGCUCGUCCUGUUGUUCCUCCGGAGCCAAACGAUGUACCACAGAAGAGAACUUUGGUAUUCCUUUUACCAAUUUUGUACCCCAAGCGAUUUUACUUCACUUAAAUUGAUAAAUAAAAUAAACUGAUUGAGCUUA